UCAGUGGGUUGUCUCGUCAGAUUGCAGAGCUGACUACGUUCGUAACUGACAGAUUCAACUCUAUGGACGACAGAUUCAACACCGUGGAAGACAGAUUGACUGCUUUGGAGGGACGUAACUUUGGGGAAAACGCAAACUCCAGGAAGAAAAGAUGGGUGCAGAGUCCCAUGAUUGCGGAAACAGUACGCCGUCUUCACAACUCGGAGACAAACACUAGGCGAUACGAGCCGGCGCAAGGACUAACUUUGCCUCAUAACGAAGCCGUGACAAGCUAUUUAGUGCGGGCUUUGUCGACAAAUCCAAAUCUUCAUGAUGCUGACAAAGACAACA